AAAAUUAAAAACUUGUUUCAUAAACAUAUAGAAGAUAUGUUAAUCUUUGAUACAAAAUAACUUUUUCUGUUUACUUUGUUCGUACGCCAAGUUAUAAGUGUUCAAACUAGGGUGAUGAUGGUGUACGAAUAACAUGUGUGCUUACUGUAGGUUUGCGUGUUUGGUUGAGUUAGCAACCCACUAAGCUGCAAACUAAAGGCAAACUAUAACACUGGUGAGGCGCUUAGCUUAGCUUAUUUUACGAAAUUGUGCCUAAACUCGCUAAUGAUAAGCAAUAAUCCGAGUAACAAUAAAUACUACGACGAGGGUCACAAAGGCCCUUAUUUGGUAUACGUCGAGCUAUCAAAACUGUUGGUAAAAUUGGGACUUCACGAUAUAGAGGAGGUCGCGCGGAUAGGGCAGGUGCAAGAUUGCAUGUGGGUCGGCCGACAGUGCAAUCAAGGUUGUUGAAAACAGUAUGGGUAUGCUCCUCGAAUUUUGCGACACUUCGUGCAAAAGGCGGGCCUAAUUUUUAGGCUUCCUGGUCACCCCUCCACCUCGGGGGAAUGGUUACCCACCGACAGGGUCAAACUCUGGUUUAGAGGAGAGCAGCUGUCCAAGGAAAUCAAGUUCCCAUACGCCAAGGUAUUAGUGAAAACGUUCGUUCAGUUUAGCCAAUGCUUGCAACUGCAAGGGUAACCACUCGGCUACGCACCCGCAAUGAGAGGCUAGAGGAAAAGCGUAUGCAACUCAAAAAAGCAUGACGCUGGAAAACCUAUCACGGGCUGAGGUAAAGGCUAGGUAUCCGACACUCUUUGGUAGAUUUUCACCGAACUUUGAGGACCCAGGGGAGUUUCCCCGACCCACUUGGCAAAAUGGCACCCUCACCGAACACCAGAACAACAACACAGAGGCAGCUAGGGAAAUUCAUUAAAGGGCAUUAAAAAGGUGUUCGAGCUUGCGGAGUCCCUAGACUACCCUUCGGUCGUGGGAGGAGAUUUCAGCGCCAAGUCUUCCAUCUGGGGAAAUCAAGGAAACUUUUCCAGUGACCGCAAGGGACGCAGCAUCGAGAAUGCUACCCGUCAGGCGGGUUUUAUCAGCCUUAACGACGGCUCUCCAGCUUUCUCCGGGAACCCUUCCCAGUUUUCAGUUCUUGAUCUCACCUUCUCCAAUCACAGGAACGGUAGAAUUGAAUUGCAAGCCCUUAAAUCCAAAAUAACCAACAGCAACCACUUCCCAAUCGUCAUAACAGUCGAAAGUUUAGACUACAGUUUCAAGAAAAGAAAGUGCUGCACAAUAGAAUAAAUUGUAUUCUUGGAGCAAGCAGCUUUACUAAUCUGCAAGAGCACAACGAUAAGGUCAAAUCCCUGACCAGGAAGAACACAGUUACCAUUCCCAGUAACAACAAGUAUAUUGCCAAAAAAUUGUGGAACGAGGGUAUAGAGAGACUAUUUCGCGUGAGAAAUGCGUGCAGGCAAAUAUACUAUUACAC
rnacentral:lncRNA from 1 species